CGCAUACGUCCUACGGGAGAAAGCAGGGGAUCUUCGGACCUUGCGCUAUCGGAUGAGCCUAUGUCGGAUUAGCUUGUUGGUGAGGUAAUGGCUCACCAAGGCGACGAUCCGUAGCUGGUCUGAGAGGAUGAUCAGCCACAUCGGGACUGAGACACGGCCCGAACUCCUACGGGAGGCAGCAGUGGGGAAUAUUGGACAAUGGGCGAAAGCCUGAUCCAGCCAUGCCGCGUGUGUGAAGAAGGCUUUCGGGUUGUAAAGCACUUUCAGUGAGGAAGAACGCCUUCGGCUUAAUACGCCGGAGGAAAGACAUCACUCACAGAAGAAGCACCGGCUAACUCCGUGCCAGCAGCCGCGGUAAUACGGAGGGUGCGAGCGUUAAUCGGAAUUACUGGGCGUAAAGCGCGCGUAGGUGGCUUGAUAAGCCGGUUGUGAAAGCCCCGGGCUCAACCUGGGAACGGCAUCCGGAACUGUCAGGCUAGAGUGCA
rnacentral:rRNA from 1 species